AACCAGGUCAUGACCGUGGCUGAAUACCAUUAGCCUAGUAAUUUCUUAUUGGCGUUCUUCUUUUUCUUUCUUCCAAUCGGAUUCUUUAUUUCUGCUCUCUCUCUACAUCACGCCAUGCCCUAUAUGAAUGAAUGAACCAAAAGUCCCCAUUUUUGGGAUACGCAACCAUUUUCUUCGACAAUGAAACGGAUAAAGACGGCCCGACGGUGCAUUCAAGGAUAUGACGAUACCCAGGUGUAUUUGCACGUAAACCUUCUGUGAAAAACAAAACAAACCUAAAAGAAUUACAGCCAGAAAUGUUAAGACAAACUACUUAUAGGAAAGGUAUUGACAGUAACUUGCAUUUACUAUAACAAAGGGGCAUUCUCAGGGUCGAAAAGAUUACCUGGAAUUAUUGGAGAAAAUACAUCCCAUGUGGACAUGGUUCUUCACCUUGAAAAUUAAUAGCUAUAUCUUUUCCAUUAAGCAAUACAAAUAUUCUUACCAGCACAUAUCACCAGUCUUAGUGUCGCAUGUAGUCGAACAAGAAUUCCUUUGGCUUAUUUUUAAUUUUUUUUUUUCUUCGUUUUUGUUGUGACGUCAAACAACACCCGGAACGAGGUGAAGGAUUCCGGAUCUCCGGCUGUUUUUUUUUUUUUCUCCUUUAAGGUGCUGUGGUCAACACAGACGCAUGAUGUAGGUAACACUGCGUCAUAUGGCAAAAUAAAAAUGGGACCAAAUUUACUUUAACCCACUACACAGGUGGGUGACUAAUCCAAGAUGAAAUUGUAACACGAAAGAUGACACAAUUUUACGGACUAUUUAAUAACUUGUCCGUAAGUGCAAACGAAAAAAAAAAUAAUAAUUAGAGCAUAGAUUUCCCAGAGACAUCCGUUACCUGCAAUUGCAA